rnacentral:rRNA from 1 species
AGCGAACGCUGGCGGCAGGCCUAACACAUGCAAGUCGAACGAAGUCUUCGGACUUAGUGGCGGACGGGUGAGUAACACGUGGGAACGUGCCUUUAGGUUCGGAAUAACUCAGGGAAACUUGUGCUAAUACCGAAUGUGCCCUUCGGGGGAAAGAUUUAUCGCCUUUAGAGCGGCCCGCGUCUGAUUAGCUAGUUGGUGAGGUAAAGGCUCACCAAGGCGACGAUCAGUAGCUGGUCUGAGAGGAUGAUCAGCCACAUUGGGACUGAGACACGGCCCAAACUCCUACGGGAGGCAGCAGUGGGGAAUCUUGCGCAAUGGACGAAAGCCUGACGCAGCCAUGCCGCGUGAAUGAUGAAGGGCUUAGGAUUGUAAACUUCUUUCGCCGGGGACGAUAAUGACGGUACCCGGAGAAGAAGCCCCGGCUAACUUCGUGCCAGCCGCCGCAGUAAGAC